rnacentral:lncRNA from 1 species
AGAAACAUCACAUUUUGAAGGGAGUUGUAUUAGCUGAAGAUGGUGAAUUUGUCUGGACGAUGGCAUCAGGAGGUGAUAAGGUCAAGAGGGCGAAGCCCUCGGGAUUGGAAUCCUGCUGGCUUCAAAGGGAGCUGCCUGCACCCCACCCCGCAGAAGGACCCAUGGAGAGCUCACCAUCCAUCUACUGCUGACUUUCCUCAUUGCCAUGGCAAAGGAUCAAACAGAAGCAACUUGAGGGAGGUGCUGCCUUUGUUGGCUCACGGUUUUCUGGGUUCAGUCUGAUCUGGUGGAGAAAGCAUGGCGGAUGUCUGGAGCUAGUGGAUAAACUUGUUCAGAUCUUUGUGGAUGGGGAAGCAGGGCUGAGUUCUAUCCCUCCAGGGGGACCCAGUACUGCUAGGUACUAGACCCAGAGUCCCAAAGUUUUCCCAACCUUCCAAAGCAAUACCUUCAAUAGAGGAGCAUGAGCCUGUGAGAGAUUAAGCAAAUCUUAACAGUGGGGAAGCAAAGGCUAAGUUUGUCAGAGCCUUGCCCUUGUACUUCCAGCCCCAGGUCUCUAGAGCAGUGACUCUAUAGUUCAUAAAGCUACCCAGCCUGUGAUAUUUUCAGAUCACAUCUCAGAUGGACUAAGGCAAUUUUUAACUAAACCCUAUUUGUUGUGGUAUUUCCAAACCCUCUUUGUAACCCUCCUGAUACCAGCACAUUUACAGGAACUAAAAACUGGACUCUAGAGCCUUGCUUUCUUUUUUCCCCCCUGCUUACAUGUUUUCUGAACAUCUGAAUUUGCAAUGUUGUAGAAACCAAAGGUUUUACACAAGAUUAGAGUCUUUUAGCCUCCCUACAAAACUCAGAAAUCUUGUGAAAUAGGGUCCUUGGUUUCUCCUGGGCAGAAGACUGAAGGAGAGAGACAGGAAGACAGAAGGGAAGGAAGGCAAGGAGAGAGACAAAGUCAGAGAGAGAGAGAGAGAGAGAGAGAAAGGGGGGAGGU